rnacentral:rRNA from 1 species
AUGGUGCUCCAAGCAGCAGCAACAUCCCUGGUGGCAUCUCUGCAGUCACCAUGGAGCGUGCUCUGCGGUGCCGCCGCCCUGCUCGUCAUAUGGGCGGCCGCCCUGGCGGCGGAGAGCUACUGGCUGAGGCCCCGGCGGCUCGGCCGGGCGCUCCGGGCGCAGGGUCUCGGCGGCACGUCGUACCGCUUCCCCGCCGGGGACUCCGCCGAGAACGCCCGGCAGAGCCUGGAGGCGCUGUCCAAGCCCAUGCCACCGUCGUGCCACGACGUCCUUCCCCGCGUGAUGCCGCACCUCCACAACACUGUCAAGGAACACGGUGAAGUUUGCGUCACCUGGGACGGCCCGGACCCCAAGGUUGUCAUCGCAAAGCCAGAGCUGGUGACCGAGAUCCUGUCCAGCAACUCUGGCCACUUCGAGAAACUCAGGACCAAUCUUGGAGACCUGGUAUGCCGCGGGGUCGGGUCCUACGACGGCGAGAAAUGGGCGAGGCACAGGCGGAUUCUCAACCCCGCUUUCCAUCUCGAAAAGCUCAAGGCCAUGUUCCCGGCUUUCUCCACGUGCUGCACCGAGCUGGUGGACAGAUGGGAGAGUAAACUGCUAGCUGCAGGUUCUGAGGGGUCGGUCGAACUCGACGUCUCCCAGGAGUUCCCGGUCCUCACCGGAGACGUGAUCACCCGAACAUCGUUCGGAAGCAGCUUCACCGAAGGACGAAGGAUCUUCGAGCUUCAAGUAGACCAGGCAAAGAGACUUAUGAAGCUCCUCCAGUAUUUGUACAUCCCGGGCUUCUUGUCCUUCCUUACUGAAAACAACAGGAGGAUGUGGGAGAACAAGCGGGAGAUAGAGGGGCUCGUGAGAGGGGUCGUCGAGAAGAGGGAGCGUGCGAUGGACAAGGACGGGGCCAUUGGCAACGACAUGCUUGGCCUGAUGCUACAGUCCAACAGGUCAUCCAAUUCCGACUUGCGGAUGAGCACUCAGGACGUCAUCCAGGAGUGCAAGCUCUUCUACUUCGCGGGAAUGGAGUCCACGCAGCAGCUACUCACAUGGACAGUCGUCAUGCUACGCAUGUACCCCGAGUGGCAAGACCGGGCGAGGGAGGAGGUUCUGGGCGUCUUCGGCAGGGACGGCAAGCCCGGCUUCGACGGCCUAAAUCGACUCAAAACGGCAAGUGCAUCGUCGAAAGUUUGCCUCAGACUAAACAUUCGAUUGCUCUCGUUGCCAGUACAUAUGAUGAUUUAUACCAAAUUUUCCUACAUAUAUAUCCAGAUGACGAUGAUACUGUACGAGGUGCUCAGGCUGUACACGCCGGUGGUCACCAUGAACCGGAAAAUAAGCAAAGAGAUGCAGAUCGGGGGCGUCACCUACCCUGCCGGGACAGUCCUCGAGCUGCCCUUCCUCAUGGUUCACCACAACCCGGACGUGUGGGGGGAAGACGUGUCCGAGUUCAAGCCGCAGAGGUUCGCGGAGGGGAUCUCCAAGGCGACCAAGAAUGGCCAGGUGGGCUUCUUCCCGUUCGGCUGGGGGCCGAGGAUCUGCAUAGGCAAUAACUUCGCCAUGCUCGAGGCCAAGAUGGCGGUGAGCAUGAUCCUUCAGCGUUUCGAGUUCCGGCUCUCGCCUUCUUACGCCCAUGCGCCCUGCACCGUGAUAACGCUGCAUCCUCAGCAUGGCGCGCAAAUUAUGCUCAAGAGUCUCUGA